rnacentral:rRNA from 1 species
GUCUGCAUCCAUGCCACCCUGAGCAAGCCCGAUCCUGUCUGAUCUUGGAAGCUAAGCAGGGUCGGGCCUGGUUAGUACUUGGAUGGGAGGCCACCUAGGAAGACCAGGUGCUAUAGGUG